rnacentral:misc_RNA from 1 species
AUCCAAAAUCUGAAACUUUAAGAACUCCACUAGCAUCCAGUAGCAGAUUUUCAGGCUUUAGGUCUCUAUGGUACACGCCUCUGCUAUGACAGUAAUCUACAGCAUUGAUAAGCUGCUGAAAAUACUUUCUUGCUUCAUCCUCUUUCAACCUCCCUCUACUUGCAAUUUUAUCAAAAAGUUCACCGCCAGUAACAAAUUCCAAAACAAUGUAUAUUUUUGUCUUGCUUGCCAUCACCUCAUACAUACGGAUCACAUUUGGGUGUCUAAUUAGUUUCAUGGUUGAAAUUUCGCGUUUAAUCUGACCGAUCAUUUUAUGCCUGAGAACCUUCUCUUUAUCGAGAAUCUUAAUCGCGACAUUUUCUCCNNUGAAUUCCUAGCAAACUUCACCUUAGCAAAUGUCCCUUCUCCCAGCGUCCUUCCCAACUCGUACCUCCCUACGCGCGUCCGACUGCUAGUCGCAGCACUCCCUCGAGAUGUCAUUCUGCCCUCUCUCUCUCUAUGUUUUUGUGCGUGUGUAGGAUUCCAAAUUCUCUCUGUAACUCUCACUUUCCCUAUAUUCAAAUUGCAAAAUGCAAAUCCUGCGUCUCUCUCUCAGUCCCUAGAAAUUGUUCAUCAAGACCUCUUCUUCUUGCAGGGUUGCCACACCUGAGACUUUACCACCCUCAUCGUCUUCAAAUUAAAGCAAAAAACGAAAACUAAUUAUAGAAAAU